CUCCACCAUCAGAUGAAGCUGCCAGCAUGAUCUUAAUUUCCCUUCUUUUUUCAAUCGAGGAAAAGAUCAGAUCAUGUGGCAGUUUCACCUGUUGCUGCU
rnacentral:pre_miRNA from 1 species